CUUGCUGGACACCUUCUUUGUACACUUGAUUAAGAAACCCCCUCUAUUGAGUUCACUAUACCCUGCAACCAUUGUUCUCUCACCUUUCUCUGAAAAUCCAUUCACUUUGCUGUUGCUGUUGUUGAGAUCAUAUCAUGGCUGGUGCAGUUGUUGGUGGAGCUUUCCUCUCUGGCUUCAUUAACAUUGUCAUUAACAAGUGCCUUACAGAGGAUGCGGUCAACAAGGUGUUUGGCAAGAAGCUUGGUUCUGACUUGGUUCAAAGGCUGAAGACUGCUCUGUUGGGUGCUGAAGCUCUUGUUGCUGAUGCUGAGAUGAAGCAGUUUGGAAAUCUCAAUGUUAGGAAGUGGCUCGAUAGUCUCCGGGAUGCUGUUUACUGUGCUGAGGACUUGCUCGAUGCUGUCCUCCUCAAAGCCACCACUCAAAAGAAUGCAAGUUUUUCCUGGUGGUCCCCUAGCUUCUUCAUCAACCAAGAUAGAGAUGACAUGGUAGACAAGAUUGAAGGGGUGGUUACAAGAAUUGAGGAUCUUGGAAAACAAAAAGAUUUCCUUGGUCUUGAAAAGAUUCUCACUGGUAGCUCAUCAUGGAGGACUCCAUCCAGUUCUCUUGUAAAAGGGAGUGUGUAUGGCAGGGAGGAUGACAAGAAGGCCUUAAUCAAAAUGCUGAAUGACAACAAUGAGCAUCACUUGUCUGUGAUUGCUAUUGUUGGCAUAGGUGGGGUUGGUAAAACAACUUUAGCCCAAUGGCUAUACAACAAUCAGGAGGAGAUCAUGAAGGGAUUUGAUCUGAAAGCAUGGGUUUGCGUUUCGGAGAAGUUUGAAGUUGUUGAGACUACAAGGAAUGUCAUAAAGCAGAUCCAUGGAGGUACUUGUAGUCUCGAUGAUUUCAAUUCACUUCAAAAUGCUUUGAAAGAAGAAUUGUCCAAUAAGAAGUUCUUUAUUGUUCUUGAUGAUGUUUGGAGUGAUGAUGGUGACAAAUGGAGUAAUUUUAUGACCCCUUUCCAAUAUGGAAAUAAGGGAAGUAUUGUUCUGCUGACUACUCGGGAGGAAAAUGUUGCUUCCGCAGUUCAAAAUUGUCGGCCUUAUUUUCUCAAGAAGUUGUCAGAGGACUAUUGUUGGUCAGUGUUUGCAGAAAAUGCAUCUUUUCCACAAUCAAAUGGGAGAGCAGCACUUGAAGAAAUAGGUAAAAAGAUUGUCAAGAAGUGCGAUGGCUUGCCAUUAGCUGCAGAAACACUUGGUCGCUUGUUACGUACUAAGCAUGAUGUUGAGGAAUGGAACAAGAUACUAAUGAGUCAUAUUUGGGAAUUUUCGGUGGAGAAGAGUAAGAUUAUUCCAGCAUUACUGAUAAGUUACUUCCAUCUUUCUCCAUAUUUAAAGCGUUGUUUUGUUUAUUGUGCUUUAUAUCCCAAAGAUUAUGAAUUUGAGAAAGAUGAAUUAAUCCUUUUGUGGAAGGCAGAAGAACUUUUACCACCACCAAAGAGAGGAGAGAGUUUAGAAGAAGUUGGUUGUGAGUGUUUUGAUGAACUAACUUCCAGAUUAUUUUUCACGAAGAGUGAAGACUUUGGUGAUUAUUUUGUGAUGCAUGAUCUCUUGCAUGACUUAGCAAUAUUCCUUGCUGGAGAUUUCUAUUGCAACUCUGAAGAACUUGGUAAAGAGGAGGAGAUAAAGAUUCAGACUCGGCAUUUGUUUGUGGAUUUAACUCAUUGUAGCUCAAAACUUUAUAAUUCUAUUUCUAAAGUAGAAUCUUUGAGAACAUUAUUAUUGUUUGGCGAUUUCUCAUCUGCAAACUGCAACAUUGAAGCGGCAACAUGUGAGAUAUUAUCAAAGUGUAAAUACUUGAGAGUUUUAUCCCUUACAAAACUUGAUGAGGUGCCUAAUUUAAUAGGAGAAUUGAUCCAUCUGCGCUACUUGGAUCUCUCUUGGACUGAUAUUAAGAAAUUGCCAGAGUCUUUGUGUAAGUUGUGUAAUUUGCAAAUAUUGAUGUUGUAUGGUUGCUCUAAGCUAACAACACUGCCUAGUGGUUUGCAUAAUCUUGUGAGUUUGCGGCAUCUUGAUAUUAGAAAAACCUCUUUAGACGAAAUGCCCAGAAAAAUGAGCAAAUUGAAUCAGUUGCACGUUUUAAGUUCCUUUGUCGUUGGCAAGCACGAAGACAAUGGAACCCAGGAGUUAGGAAGGCUGGUAAAUCUUCAUGAAUCCUUUGAGAUUAAGAAGUUGGAGAAUAUUGUUGAUGUGGAAGAAGCAAAGAGGGCAAAGAUAAUGGAUAAGAAGCACAUUGAUGAAUUAUGUUUGGAAUGGUCUUCAGGUGAUGAUAUGGUUUCAAGUACACAAAAAGAAAGAGAUAUCCUCGAUAACUUGCAACCGCAUAAUGGGUUGAAAUACUUGGGAAUCAAAGGAUACAAGGGUACAAUAUUUCCAGAUUGGUUGGGGAACUGUUCCUACGAAAACAUGACACAUGUAUCUCUAGAGUGUUGCAAGAAUUGCUGCAUGCUGCCUUCGCUUGGACAGCUGCCGUCUCUUAAGUCCCUAAGCAUUGAAGGUUUUGAUCAGCUGAGGAGUAUUGGCGAGGAGUUUUACAAGAAUGAAGGUGAUCAUCAUUCUUCGCAUAUUGCACCAUUUCCCUCACUGGAGACUUUGGUAUUUUAUAACAUGGCAUGUUGGGAGGUGUGGCACGUAUCUGAGUCGGAAACUUUUCCUCAACUUAAGAAGCUUGAAAUAACAAAUUGUCCAAUGUUGAAGGAAGAGAUGCGUAAUCAGGUAUUCUUCAUAAUAGUUUCUUCUUUGUCGGAUGUUUCCAAAGUUCGCACACUACGUAUAGGCGACUACUUUAUAGAACGGGACACCGAGGCCAUGUUUCUUGAUGGGGAUACUUUAUCAAUUAGGGGAAGUGAAUCUGUGAUGGAGUCUGCCUUUAAGGCAAUGAUCAGCAUCAACCAUCUAACUUGCCUGCAACAACUACACAUCUUGAGCUGUAGAAAACUAGAAUUUCCCCAUCUGCAGCAGCAGAAGUAUGAUUUGGUAGAGCUACUAAUACAAGACAGCUGUGAUUCAAUGACCUCCUUGUGGUUGGAGGUCUUUCCCAAUCUGAAGAAUUUGGAGAUCAUAAACUGUUGGAAUCUGGAAUCAAUCUCAAUGUCAGAAGCACCACAUGCUGCUCUUCAAUGGCUCUCCAUUGUUUUAUGCGAGAAAUUAGUGUCAUUUGCAGGAGAAGGACUGGCUGCACCCAACUUGACUCAUCUUCAAGUCAGAGAUUGUGAGAAGUUGGAGGCAUUACCACGUGACAUGAAGAGUCUACUCCCAAGCUUACACUCUCUCCAGAUAUAUGGUUGCCCAAACAUUUGCAGGUUGCCAGAGGGUGGUUUGCCGCCUAAAUUGAAAGAACUUGAAGUGGGAAUUGGCGAGCAACAAAUGAGGGAUCUAUCAUGGAUGGGCAACUUGCACGCCCUCACUCAUCUCAGUAUUUAUGGUUAUGAGUGUAAGAACAUAAAGUCAUACCCAGAGGUGGGUUCGCUGCCUCACCUUCCCUCCCUUACCACUCUACAUAUCGAACACUUUGAUAAUCUGGAGACAUUGGAGUGCAACGAGCUUCUCCACCUCACCUCCCUUCAACAACUACACAUUUAUUGGUGUCCAAAGCUGGAGAAUAUGGAAGGAGAAAAGCUGCCUCCCUCUCUCUUGCUACUCAAAAUUGAAGACUGUCCUUUGCUGCCCAAGCAUCAAUUAAUCUGGCCCAAAAUUUCCCACAUCCCAACCAUUGAAGUCGAUAGCAAAAAAAUUUCCUGAAUAGAGAUUUCUGAGCAGGUUGGAGAAUAUGGCAGGAGAAAAGCUUCCUUUUUCUGUUACUAUUUCAAAUUCAACACUGUCCUUUGCCCGGAAAACGCUACAAGAAGAAGAGUUGAAGCUAAACUCUUUAUGAAGGUAACCUAAACUUGAUGGAUGUAGAGGGGUAUCAAGAAAUAGAUAACUGCUAUGGUCGAGGAUCAACUUUCUUUCUGAAUUCAACCAUUAUAAUGUGCAUUAGGCAGCUUCUGUGGCAAUUGCAACUUGGUGAGCAUGUUAUGAUAAUUUUCCUUAGUGUGAGGCCCAAGCAAACUCUUUUUGGAGAGUCCCUCUACAUCCCAAUUAGUGUAUUAACCUGAAAAAAUGAAUGAGCGGAUGGUUAAAUUCUUUUCUGGUUUACCUGGAGUUCUUCAUUCAUAGUCCUUCAACUUUGAGGUGUGAUUGCAAUCCGAGCUCUGUAGCCAAAAAGUUCGUAAGCAACGGUCGUCUAUUGUAUCAUUGAUUUCACCAUUUAGUUUAUGCUUUUAUGUUCUUGUACAAGAGUUCUGCAUGUAUUCUUAGUAGUGCUUGUAAGUUUUGAGACUUGUUUGUAGCUUUGAUUUGGAAAAUAUUGAAAAUUUUUAC